rnacentral:rRNA from 1 species
UACGGGGGGAGCAAGCGUUGUUCGGAUUUACUGGGCGUAAAGGGCGCGUAGGCGGCCACCGCAAGUCGACUGUGAAAUCUCCGGGCUUAACCCGGAAAGGUCAGCCGAUACUGCGGGGCUAGAGUGCAGAAGGGGCAACUGGAAUUCUCGGUGUAGCGGUGAAAUGCGUAGAUAUCGAGAGGAACACCUGCGGCGAAGGCGGGUUGCUGGGCUGACACUGACGCUGAGGCGCGAAAGCUGGGGGAGCAAACCGG